CGUACGCCUCCGUAAUGUGACCGACGCUGCACUCAAUUCUGCGUUGCGCAGCACCAUGAACUGCGUAGAGCGAGUCUUUUCAUCCUAACAAUUAUCACUACAAAUGACGCCGACAUUUGUAUUGAAAGUAAAAAGAUAAUAGAUUUUUCCAGUGUACUGAUGAAAACAUAGUUACCGGAUUGUAGCUGAAUGCUGAAGAAAACAUGGACCUGUCAUCGCUUCUCUGUCGCCUGCGCGUCUCAUCCUCGUCAGCCCGCCCCUUCCAUCUCCCUGACGACAGUCAGCCCUUUCCACCAAUCACAGAGGUGCUCCGCCAGCUGCAGGACAAUCUGAGUGGAGUCGCUCAACGAGACGACUGUGACUCGGAGAAAGCAUCUGCCAUUGGCCAGGCGGAACAGUUAUUCAAGAUCGCUGACCCCCAUUGGCUGACGUCCCCUGAUGACAGCGAUCAGACCAAUGACGCGCCUGCGUGUGCCCGGUGGGCGGUGCUGGCGGAGGCCUACGUGGGCGUAGUCCGGUCUCUCAUCCGCUGUGCCGCUCUGCCCGCGUGCGAGGCCGACAGCGGCCUGCCCGACAGCCUCUACCGGGACGUCCCAGCCGGGGCCGUGCUGGUCUGCUCGGCCCUCUGCAGCCUGCUGGG
ensembl:lncRNA